GAACGCGAAGAACCUUACCUGGUCUUGACAUGUACGGAAUCCUCCAGAGACGGAGGAGUGCCUUCGGGAGCCGUAACACAGGUGCUGCAUGGCUGUCGUCAGCUCGUGUCGUGAGAUGUUGGGUUAAGUCCCGCAACGAGCGCAACCCUUGUCAUUAGUUGCCAUCAUUAAGUUGGGCACUCUAAUGAGACUGCCGGUGACAAGCCGGAGGAAGGUGGGGAUGACGUCAAGUCCUCAUGGCCCUUAUGACCAGGGCUUCACACGUCAUACAAUGGUCGGUACAGAGGGUAGCCAAGCCGCGAGGUGGAGCCAAUCUCACAAAACCGAUCGUAGUCCGGAUUGCACUCUGCAACUCGAGUGCAUGAAGUCGGAAUCGCUAGUAAUCGCAGGUCAGCAUACUGCGGUGAAUACGUUCCCGGGUCUUGUACACACC
rnacentral:rRNA from 1 species